rnacentral:lncRNA from 1 species
ACACAUGCACGCGCGCGUGGACGUAAGCCAGGCCUAGGCUUUGCCCGGGGAUUUCGUCGUGUUUUUCCAGAGAAUACUGAGCUUAACAGAUGCCAGUUGUAGAUACUCGUCCAGUUUGCCGGCAUCCAGUGCCUUGGACACUUCCACCAUACCGGGACGGAACGGCUUGUUGAAGAAGCGAUCGUACGUCGUGUGCCGCCGCAGAUGCUUCUGAUGGGUUGAGGACAAAGGAACUACGAAUAGAACAAAACAUGGAUAGCACUCCAUCGAGAAACUAACCUUCACCCGAGGAAUGCAGCAAGAGGGCAGACGGUCACGGCACCUGUAACUGUUCAGACCGUUUAGUCUGGCACAUGGGCCAUGAGGCGGCGGAAAAUGCGUCAUCUGCUCAUGAGCUGGGGAUGGGACCCUGGUGACGUCAGUAUGACACUCUUAAGGCUGCCACACUUCCUCCAGACUCAGACACUGUGUUCCAUUUACUCCUCCGGGAUUCACCUCAAGAAAUUUUUUUCUUCCUUAGACUAAAUUAUUAUUUUGUGAAACUGUGAUAUUAUUGCAUACACACACCGCGUCUGGACUCAAACUGCAGGAAUACAACACAGAAAUAGCUGAAUCGGAAAUCACCAAAGAGUUGGGAUACAAGCUCUAAUUACGUACAAUGUAGGCUGCAGGUCAUUGUCUGGGUUAUUUGAUAAAUGCAUACUUUUCACGCUUUUUUGACAAACUCGGCUUCUUUUGAAUUUUACCUUUUCCAAUCCAUCGUUUUCAUACAGUAAACUUAGGCCUAUACAUGUCAUAAAAUAUUUUGUGUGGUGCUAUGAUCCUUGUUUGACCGACAUUGUAAUUUAAUCAAAGGUUCCUUAUCAGUGGAUAAUGAUAUGAAAAUGAAUUUAAUCGAAAAACAAAUUACUAUUUCAUAAGGAUGAAAUAAUUGCUAAGACAUUUAAGUCACAUACUCGAAGCUUCACGUGUAUUCUUCAGCGAUAUCCCGUUUUUAUUUCACAUGUACGUCAGUAUACAUUGUAGGGACAAUGUACAUACACUGUACAUAAUGUACACUGGACUGUACAUGUACUGUACAUGCACAGCACUAUGCUGUACACCAUUGUGGAUAUCUGAUCUCAAGUUAAAAAGUCACCGACAUGUAUAACUCCGCCCAGAGAGAACUUUAUUAUUGCGCGAAAUGAAAUAGAUUUUUAUUCGCAAAAGUUGAUCGCAGUAUAGGAAUAAAUUUGUCUAAGGAGUAGGUACUACAACGUCAGGGACCACUUUGAUUAUUUAAUUUAUAGCUUGUCUUCACUUAGUCGUUGGAGUAAGUAAGCAAUGUUUGUCCUUAUUCUCUCGUAGCCCGGUGGCACUGCGGAUGAAUAUUGCAAAGUUCUCCGUGCA